rnacentral:tRNA from 1 species
GCUUUCGUGGUGUAGUGGUCAGCACGCUCGACGCAUAACCGAGAGGUCCGUGGUUCGAUUCCCGGCGAAGGCG